AUUGAACGCUGGCGGCAUGCCUUACACAUGCAAGUCGAACGGUAACAGGUCUUCGGAUGCUGACGAGUGGCGCACGGGUGAGUAAUACAUCGGAACGUGCCCGAUCGUGGGGGAUAACGAAGCGAAAGCUUUGCUAAUACCGCAUAAGAUCUACGGAUGAAAGCAGGGGACCGCAAGGCCUUGCGCGAACGGAGCGGCCGAUGGCAGAUUAGGUAGUUGGUGGGAUAAAAGCUUACCAAGCCGACGAUCUGUAGCUGGUCUGAGAGGACGACCAGCCACACUGGGACUGAGACACGGCCCAGACUCCUACGGGAGGCAGCAGUGGGGAAUUUUGGACAAUGGGCGAAAGCCUGAUCCAGCCAUGCCGCGUGCAGGAUGAAGGCCUUCGGGUUGUAAACUGCUUUUGUACGGAACGAAAAGACUCUGGUUAAUACCUGGGGUACAUGACGGUACCGUAAGAAUAAGCACCGGCUAACUACGUG
rnacentral:rRNA from 1 species